AGCAGCCGCGGUAAUUCCAGCUCCAAUAGCGUAUAUUAAAGUUGUUGCAGUUAAAAAGCUCGUAGUUGAAUUUCGGGGUUAGUAGAUUGGUCAUGCCUCUGGUAUGUACUGGUCUUACUGAUUCCUCCUUCCUGAUGAGCCGUAAUGCCAUUAAUUUGGUGUUGCGGGGAAUUUGGACUGUUACUUUGAAAAAAUUAGAGUGUUUAAAGCAGGCUCGCGCUUGAAUACAUUAGCAUGGAAUAAUGAAAUAGGACGUUUGAUUCUAUUUUGUUGGUUUCUAGGAUCGACGUAAUGAUUAAUAGGGAUAGUUGGGGGCAUUAGUAUUCAAUUGUCAGAGGUGAAAUUCUUGGAUUUAUUGAAGACUAACUACUGCGAAAGCAUUUGCCAAGGAUGUUUUCAUUAAUCAAGAACGAAAGUUAGGGGAUCGAAGACGAUCAGAUACCGUCGUAG
rnacentral:rRNA from 1 species